GUAGGGGCCAAGCGUUUAUCCGGAUUUAUUGGGCGUAAAGAGCUCGUAGGCGGCUUGGCAAGUCGGUCGUGAAAGUCCGAGGCUCAACCUCGGAAUGCCGGUCGAAACUGCCAUGGCUAGGGUUCGGUAGAGGAGAGUGGAAUUCUCGGUGUAGCGGUGAAAUGCGCAGAUAUCGAGAGGAACACCAGUAGCGAAGGCGGCUCUCUGGGCCGAUACCGACGCUGAGGAGCGAAAGCGUGGGGAGCAAACAGGGAUUAGAUACCCUGGUAGUCCACGCCGUAAACGGUGAUCACUAGGUGUGGCGGACUCAUUGACGUCUGCUGUGCCGGCGCUAACGCAUUAAGUGAUCCGCCUGGGAGUACGGCCGCAGGCUA
rnacentral:rRNA from 1 species